UACGUAGGGUGCGAGCGUUGUCCGGAAUUAUUGGGCGUAAAGGGCUCGUAGGCGGUUUGUCACGUCGGGUGUGAAAACUCGGGGCUUAACCCCGAGCCUGCUUCCGAUACGGGCUGACUAGAGGUAUGCAGGGGAGAACGGAAUUCCUGGUGUAGCGGUGAAAUGCGCAGAUAUCAGGAGGAACACCGGUGGCGAAGGCGGAUCUCUGGGCCAUUACUGACGCUGAGGAGCGAAAGCGUGGGGAGCGAACAGG
rnacentral:rRNA from 1 species